rnacentral:rRNA from 1 species
AGACAGGUGGUGCAUCGGUUGUCGUCAGCUCGUGUCGUGAGAUGUUGGGUUAAGUCCCGCAACGAGCGCAACCCCUAUUGUUAGUUGCCAUCAUUCAGUUGGGCACUCUAGCGAACUGCCGUUGACAAAACGGAGGAAGUGGGAUGACGUCAAAUCAUCAUGCCCCUUAUGUUCUGGGCUACACACGUGCUACAAUGGCCGGUACAGACGGACGCAAAGCCGCGAGGUGGAGCAAAUCCUAAAAAGCCGGUCUCAGUUCGGAUUGCAGGCUGCAAUUCGCCUGCAUGAAGUCGGAAUCGCUAGUAAUCGCAGGUCAGCAUACUGCGGUGAAUACGUUCCCGGGCCUU